GAUGAACGCUGGCGGUAUGCUUAACACAUGCAAGUCGAACGGGGUGCAUAGUCACCUAGUGGCGGACGGGUGAGUAACGCGUGAGAAUCUGGCCUCAGGUCCGGGACAACCACGGGAAACGGUGGCUAAUACCGGAUGUGCCAUAUUGGUGAAAGAUUAAUUGCCUGAGGAUGAGCUCGCGUCUGAUUAGCUAGUUGGUGGGGUAAAGGCUUACCAAGGCGACGAUCAGUAACUGGUCUGAGAGGAUGACCAGUCAUACUGGGACUGAGACACGGCCCAGACUCCUACGGGAGGCAGCAGUGGGGAAUUUUCCGCAAUGGGCGAAAGCCUGACGGAGCAAUACCGCGUGAGGGAGGAAGGCUCUUGGGUUGUAAACCUCUUUUCUCAGGGAAGAAGAAUGACGGUACCUGAGGAAUCAGCAUCGGCUAACUCCGUG
rnacentral:rRNA from 1 species